AUGUUGCGGGAGCAGGCAGCUGCCGUCAGGUCGCAGGAGGCCGCGCGGUGGUCGCCAUGCCACGCGCCGGACGAGGAGGAGUCGGAGAUCGUGGCGCGGUUCCUGACGGCGCCGUACCCGUGCUUCGACGGCGGCUACGACUUCCUCGGCGAGCCCGACGUGUCGCUCGGGAUCAACACGCUCUCCUACUGCGGCUCCAUCGACCUCAACCUCUCCCGGAAGGAGGAGAGGGCCGGCAAGCGUGGUGGCAAUGGCAACAUGGUCCCCGGCCCUUCGCCCCCCGCUGGUCGCGGUCGCGUCCGCGCUGGUGCUGGUUACCUCCUCAGCGAUCGCGACAGCAAUGGCGACGGUGCCGCCGCAACGCCGAAGCGGAAGGUUUUUCAGGCCGGCCAUGCCCAUGAUCAGGGAGGGGAUCUUGGACGGCACAAGAAGAAGGCUCGAGCUGCAGAUCACAAGGGGGAGAAGUCUGUCACAUUCAAGACCAAGAUGCCGCAGCAGAAGCGGCGAUCCAGCAGCUACUGCUCGGACAACGAGUCCAAUUGCUCCCAGGGGGACGGCGGCGAGGAGGCCAACGUCGCCGGCGGCGGCACCGUGAAAGUGCGGGCCGGCCGCGGGUCUGCGGCCGAUCCCCAGAGCCUCUAUGCGAAGAGAAGAAGGGAGAAGAUUAACGACAGACUCCGAGUCCUGCAGAAGCUGGUGCCCAACGGAACCAAAGUGGAUCUCAGCACUAUGCUGGAGGAGGCAGUCCUCUACGUCAAGUUCUUGCAGCUACAGAUCAAGGUGCUCAGCUCUGACGAGAUGUGGAUGUACGCGCCGCUCGCUUACAGCGGCAUGAGCUUCGGAAUCGAUCUGAGGAUCACCCCUCAGUGA
rnacentral:rRNA from 1 species